UUGAAAGGGAAACGAUUGAAGUCAGUCGUACCUGUGGGUAAUCAGCCUUUUGGGUGUGAUUUUGUGGAGUGUGAGGAGUUAAACGCCUUCAUGCCUGCAUAUUCGUGCACUUUGGGUGUAUUUACCCGUGUGGUAAGUUACCCCCACUUUCGGUGGUCAUAAAAUGGCUGGAGGAAUGUACCUUCGACUUGUAUUGAAGUGUUAUAGCGUUCGGUAGAUGUGAUGAUCGGGAUUGAGGAUUGCACCGGAUACCCCUCGGGCCAACCGGCCGGAUCUCUGAUGGUCGCUCUGGCCCGAUUGAUUUCAUAUGGGACCAAUUCGUUAAGGAUGUUGACGUA
rnacentral:rRNA from 1 species